rnacentral:rRNA from 1 species
UAGGUUAACGAGGCGAACCGGGGGAACUGAAACAUCUAAGUACCCCGAGGAAAAGAAAUCAACCGAGAUUCCCCCAGUAGCGGCGAGCGAACGGGGAGCAGCCCAGAGUCUGAAUCAGCUUGUGUGUUAGUGGAACGGUCUGGAAAGUCCGACGGUACAGGGUGAUAGUCCCGUACACCAAAAUGCACAGGUUGUGAACUCGAAGAGUAGGGCGGGACACGUGGUAUCCUGUCUGAAUAUGGGGGGACCAUCCUCCAAGGCUAAAUACUCCUGACUGACCGAUAGUGAACCAGUACCGUGAGGGAAAGGCGAAAAGAACCCCGGCGAGGGGAGUGAAAAAGAACCUGAAACCGUGUACGUACAAGCAGUGGGAGCACCUUUAUGGUGUGACUGCGUACCUUUUGUAUAAUGGGUCAGCGACUUAUAUUCUGUAGCAAGGUUAACCGUAUAGGGGAGCCGCAGGGAAACCGAGUCUUAACUGGGCGUUAAGUUGCAGGGUAUAGACCCGAAACCCGGUGAUCUAGCCAUGGGCAGGUUGAAGGUUGGGUAACACUAACUGGAGGACCGAACCGACUAAUGUUGAAAAAUUAGCGGAUGACUUGUGGCUGGGGGUGAAAGGCCAAUCAAACCGGGAGAUAGCUGGUUCUCCCCGAAAGCUAUUUAGGUAGCGCCUCGUGAACUCAUCUUCGGGGGUAGAGCACUGUUUCGGCUAGGGGGUCAUCCCGACUUACCAACCCGAUGCAAACUACGAAUACCGAAGAAUGUUAUCACGGGAGACACACGGCGGGUGCUAACGUCCGUCGUGAAGAGGGAAACAACCCAGACCGCCAGCUAAGGUCCCAAAGUCAUGGUUAAGUGGGAAACGAUGUGGGAAGGCACAGACAGCCAGGAUGUUGGCUUAGAAGCAGCCAUCAUUUAAAGAAAGCGUAAUAGCUCACUGGUCGAGUCGGCCUGCGCGGAAGAUGUAACGGGGCUAAACCAUG